UACGUAGGGUGCGAGCGUUAUCCGGAAUUACUGGGUUUAAAGGGUGCGUAGGCGGCCAUGUAAGUCAGGAGUGAAAGUUUGCGGCUCAACCGUAAAAUUGCUUUUGAUACUGCAUGGCUGGAAUCAGGAUGAGGUCAGCGGAAUGUGGCAUGUAGCGGUGAAAUGCAUAGAUAUGCCAUAGAACACCAAUUGCGAAGGCAGCUGGCUAGACCUGUAUUGACGCUGAGGCACGAAAGCGUGGGGAGCGAACAGG
rnacentral:rRNA from 1 species